GAUGAACGCUGGCGGCGUGCCUAAUACAUGCAAGUCGAGCGAACAGACGAGGAGCUUGCUCCUUUUACGUUAGCGGCGGACGGGUGAGUAACACGUGGAUAACCUACCUAUAAGACUGGGAUAACUUCUGGAAACCGGAGCUAAUACCGGAUAACAUUGUGAACCGCAUGUUUCAACAUUGAAAGACGGUUUUGCUGUCACUUAUAGAUGGAUCCGCGCCGCAUUAGCUAGUUGGUAAGUUAACGGCUUACCAAGGCAACGAUGCGUAGCCGACCUGAGAGGGUGAUCGGCAACACUGGAACUGAGACACGGUCAAGACUCCUACGGGAGGCAGAAGAAGGGAAUCUUCCGCAAUGGGCGAAAGCCUGACGGAGCAACGCCGCGUGAGUGAAGAAGGUCUUCGGAUCGUAAAACUCUGUUAUUAGGGAAGAACAAAUGUGUAAGUAACUAUGCACGUCUUGACGGUACCUAAUCAGAAAGCCACGGCUAACUACGUG
rnacentral:rRNA from 1 species